rnacentral:rRNA from 1 species
CAUUACUGAGUUUACGCUCUACAACCCUUUGUGAACAUACCUAUAACUGUUGCUUCGGCGGGUAGGGUCUCCGCGACCCUCCCGGCCUCCCGCCUCCGGGCGGGUCGGCGCCCGCCGGAGGAUAACCAAACUCUGAUUUAACGACGUUUCUUCUGAGUGGUACAAGCAAAUAAUCAAAACUUUUAACAACGGAUCUCUUGGUUCUGGCAUCGAUGAAGAACGCAGCGAAAUGCGAUAAGUAAUGUGAAUUGCAGAAUUCAGUGAAUCAUCGAAUCUUUGAACGCACAUUGCGCCCGCCAGCAUUCUGGCGGGCAUGCCUGUUCGAGCGUCAUUUCAACCCUCAAGCUCUGCUUGGUGUUGGGGCCCUACAGCCGAUGUAGGCCCUCAAAGGUAGUGGCGGACCCUCCCGGAGCCUCCUUUGCGUAGUAACUUUACGUCUCGCACUGGGAUCCGGAGGGACUCUUGCCGUAAAACCCCCCAAUUUUCCAAAGGUUGACCUCGGAUCAGGUAGGAAUACCCGC